AACGAACGCUGGCGGCAGGCUUAACACAUGCAAGUCGAGCGCCUCGCAAGAGGAGCGGCAGACGGGUGAGUAACGCGUGGGAAUCUACCUAGUUCUACGGAACAACACAGGGAAACUUGUGCUAAUACCGUAUACGCCCUACGGGGGAAAGAUUUAUCGGAAUUAGAUGAGCCCGCGUAAGAUUAGCUAGUUGGUGGGGU
rnacentral:rRNA from 1 species